AUGGAGAUCAUACUCCGGCUCGGCUUUCCCACCACUCUCGUCCGCGCCGCUCUCGUCUGCAGGCGCUGGCUCCGCCGCGCCUCGGACCCUGCCUUCCUCCUCAGGUUCCGCAGUCUUCACCCGCCCCGCCUCCUUGGAUUUUACGUCCACACCUUGUCUAAGCAAUCGAAUACGAAGCCCCCACUGAUCAUGUCAAAUCUGCCACUGCCCCCAGAGCUUAGUACCUUCAUCCACCAUGCAAACUUCGGAUUGGACGCCUACAAGGGCAAGAAUAUCUACAUGAUAGACUGCCGGCACGGAAACGUUUUCAUCCCCUUGUAUGACAGCUGGACAUCCACAUACACAAAAGUAGUCCAUAAACCACUCUGCCCUAAUAGAGAAAUACCUAGCUUCCAACCAUUCCCGCCGCACCAACUCCGGGAUGGCAAUACCUGCACUUGGAGUGACCUCGUCUUCAAAGGGGAAGGUGACAACUUGUCCGACUUAUAUGUGUGGAUCGAGUCUACCAGGGAUUCCAUAAGAUCUACAAUGCACGUAUCUGUGUUACAAGACGAUGUCUGGUGCAUGCAUACCUCGAUCACAAGUACAUAA
rnacentral:rRNA from 1 species